rnacentral:rRNA from 1 species
AUUGAACGCUGGCGGCAGGCCUAACACAUGCAAGUCGAACGAGUGGCGGACGUGUGAGUAAUGUCUGGGAAACUGCCUGAUGGAGGGGGAUAACUACUGGAAACGGUAGCUAAUACCGCAUACCCUCAGAUGUGCCCAGAUGGGAGUAGCUUGUUGGGGGGGGAACGGCUCACCAAGGCGACGAUCCCUAGCUGGUCUGCGAGGAUGACCAGCCACACUGGAACUGAGACACGGUCCAGACGCCUACGGGAGGCAGCAGUGGGGAAUAUUGCACAAUGGGCGCAAGCCUUAUGCAGCCAUGCCGCGUGUAUGAAGAAGGCCUUCGGGUUGUAAAGUACUUUCAGCGGGGAGGCGUUACCCGCAGAAGAAGCACCGGCUAACUCCGUGCCAGCAGCCGCGGUAAUUC